rnacentral:rRNA from 1 species
CCUACGGGGGGCUGCAGUGGGGAAUAUUGCACAAUGGGCGCAAGCCUGAUGCAGCCAUGCCGCGUGUGUGAAGAAGGCCUUCGGGUUGUAAAGCACUUUCAGCGGGGAGGAAGGCGUUAAGGUUAAUAACCUUGUCGAUUGACGUUACCCGCGGAAGAAGCACCGGCUAACUCCGUGCCAGCAGCCGCGGUAAUACGGAGGGUGCAAGCGUUAAUCGGAAUUACUGGGCGUAAAGCGCACGCAGGCGGUCUGUCAAGUCGGAUGUGAAAUCCCCGGGCUCAACCUGGGAACUGCAUUCGAAACUGGCAGGCUAGAGUCUUGUAGAGGGGGGUAGAAUUCCAGGUGUAGCGGUGAAAUGCGUAGAGAUCUGGAGGAAUACCGGUGGCGAAGGCGGCCCCCUGGACAAAGACUGACGCUCAGGUGCGAAAGCGUGGGGAGCAAACAGGAUUAGUACCCCUGUAGUC